AGUGAACGCUGGCGGCGUGCCUAAUACAUGCAAGUCGAACGGAGUGGCGCACGGGUGAGUAAUGUAUAGCUAAUCUGCCCUACACUAGAGGAAAACAGAUGGAAACGACUGCUAAUAAUCCAUAGUUUAGUAUGAGGCUAUAUUGUAUCAGCUAGUUGGUGAGGUAAUGGCUCACCAAGGUUAUGACGCAUAACUGGUCUGAGAGGAUUAUCAGUCACACUGGAACUGAGACACGGUCCAGACUCCUACGGGAGGCAGCAGUAGGUAAUAUUGCUCAAUGGGGGAGUACCUGAAGCAGCAUCGCCGCGUGGAGGAUGACACUUUUCGGAGCGUAAACUCCUGUUGUUAGGGAAGCGGUACCUAACGAAUAAGCACCGGCUAACUCCGUGCCAGCAGCCGCGGUAAUAC
rnacentral:rRNA from 1 species